GUGCUUUGCCAGCUUAUACACUAAAACUGGAAAGAUACAGAGAAGGCUGUGGUCUUUGGGCAAAGAUGACAAAUUCAUUUAGCAGCACAUAUUUUU
rnacentral:snRNA from 1 species